UACGGGGGGGGCAAGCGUUGUUCGGAAUUACUGGGCGUAAAGGGCUCGUAGGCGGCCAACUAAGUCAGACGUGAAAUCCCUCGGCUUAACCGGGGAACUGCGUCUGAUACUGGAUGGCUUGAGGGUAGGAGAGAGAUGCGGAAUUCCAGGUGUAGCGGUGAAAUGCGUAGAUAUCUGGAGGAACACCGGUGGCGAAGGCGGCAUCCUGGACUACUACUGACGCUGAGGAGCGAAAGCUAGGGGAGCAAACAGG
rnacentral:rRNA from 1 species